UACGUAGGGUGCAAGCGUUUGUCCGGAAUUAUUGGGCGUAAAGAGCUUGUAGGCGGUUUGUCGCGUCUGCUGUGAAAUUUCGGGGCUCAACCCCGAACUUGCAGUGGGUACGGGCAGACUAGAGUGUGGUAGGGGAGACUGGAAUUCCUGGUGUAGCGGUGAAAUGCGCAGAUAUCAGGAGGAACACCGAUGGCGAAGGCAGGUCUCUGGGCCAUAACUGACGCUGAGAAGCGAAAGCAUGGGGAGCGAAUAGG
rnacentral:rRNA from 1 species